CAGUAUAUUUUUUCAGUGAUUAAACACGUAUCUGGUAACGUUAAUCAACAUAUAACAUACAUAUUACUUUGCAGCUAGAGAAAAUUCAGUCUGUCUGCAUAUGAGUUAUCGCGGGAUAUAACUCGAACGGGAUUUCGGAAACGAAUAAAAAUGUUUGCAAGGGCUUACAAAAGAGAUGCACAUCAACCUGUAGCGCUUUAAAUGUUUAAUGAUAAUUACUCUAAUCAUAUCUAAAUUACAAAUUCUGAUCUGAUUUAUCGCUUUUUGGUAUAUUGCUCUUAAAUAAAUCAAACACCAUCCCGACGGUUCUCAGUACCAAAAUUAUACGCAAUAUGUGACGUCAGCAGGAACGAGACUCGAGUACAAAGUGAUUGACAGAGCAUGACAAAAACAUCUCUACACGGAUAUGGAGUUGGUACUAUUUGGAUGGAGGUGUGAACAUGAUGACAUGCCAUGCUUGUUGGCUGUAUAAAAGUCCAAAGAAGAGAAGAAAAGAUCCUUUCAUAUUUUUCCAGAGUGCCUUAAUUUCCGCCAUUAAUCAGUUAAUAGCAGAGAACCUUAAGUUUGCACAUGCAGAUUUGCAAAGACUCUUUUGAGAAGAUUUUAACAGCAUGACAACCAACAACAUUCAGGAAAAAAUUAAUAGAUGCAGUGAUUGAUGAACUAACAAACCUUUUCAAGAAGUGGAAGAAGAAAUUUUAAUUUUGUUCUCAUCUAAAUAAAGAAGAUUUUCCUA